GCUUGGGAACUUGCCUUUGCGAGGGGGAUAACAGUUGGAAACGACUGCUAAUACCGCAUAAUGUCUUCGGACCAAACGGGGCUUCGGCUCCGGCGCAAAGAGAGGCCCAAGUGAGAUUAGCUAGUUGGUAAGGUAACGGCUUACCAAGGCGACGAUCUCUAGCUGUUCUGAGAGGAAGAUCAGCCACACUGGGACUGAGACACGGCCCAGACUCCUACGGGAGGCAGCAGUGGGGAAUAUUGCACAAUGGGGGAAACCCUGAUGCAGCCAUGCCGCGUGUGUGAAGAAGGCCUUCGGGUUGUAAAGCACUUUCAGUUGUGAGGAAAAGUUAGUAGUUAAUACCUGCUAGCCGUGACGUUAACAACAGAAGAAGCACCGGCUAACUCCGUGCCAGCAGCCGCGGUAAUACGGAGGGUGCGAGCGUUAAUCGGAAUUACUGGGCGUAAAGCGCACGCAGGCGGUUUGUUAAGCUAGAUGUGAAAGCCCCGGGCUCAACCUGGGAUGGUCAUUUAGAACUGGCAGACUAGAGUCUUGGAGAGGGGAGUGGA
rnacentral:rRNA from 1 species